rnacentral:snoRNA from 1 species
UGGCACGUNGGACGGCGCUCUGCUCCUCUUUAAAGAGCAUGAAUUUAUCCACACCCUACGACAUGAAUGAAAUGAGUUUUCAGGGCUGCCAACUNUCCAGUUAGGGUUCUGCAAUAGUAUGUUUCUUCUACAAUG